GUCCCUACAGAAGCCGCCGGCUACGCGUUCGGGUCCGCUUUGACCGCCGGUGACGUCACGGAAUUCAGUGGUCGGAAAAGUUAUUACUAAAGGACAUGAUGCCCUUCGCGUUCGCUUUCAUUCGAGUGGUGACCAUCGAACGGUUCGGACGGUCGAACCUUCGGCGUUGGUUGAGACCCACAACAAGCGCGUGUCCGUUGCAUAUCAUAGAAGGCUGUUCUUUUGUAUCAGUGUAUGUGUGUGCGUGCGCGUGUGUGCAUGCGGUUGGUAGACAUUUGAGUGACAGGUUCGGUUUGAAAUAAUUUCCUCACAGAAAUAUGAAGAUUUUUGUUAACAAAAAGUAAUGUUUUCGUGGACCCCUACAAUCGUUUGAUUACCCCGUAAACGCUAAUGGUUUUAUUACUUACGCCGUGUGCGCGUGUGUGGGCAGGUGUUGCACCUGGUCACCGUAUAAGUGAGCCAGUACAAUCUGUAAAUCUGUGUCUGAAAAGAGUGCCGCGUGCAAGUGCUUAAAUUGUAUUUAAACAGCUUGGGUGUGUUUCCCUUUUCCACCCGUAGACCAGAGUGGUUCGUUGUAGCCAAGGUGUUUGAGUUGUUUGCUGUGUCUACUGCGAUCAUUAUUUUAACUUCUUCCCCCAUUUUGUGUUUUUCUCCAACCCAGUGGUAAUGUCCACAAAGCGGCGGCAUGGUGUUUGUGUGUGUCACCUGGAACGCAGGUUUUGAUGAGGUGAAUUAUUAAUUACGCCCCUGUGGACUGUGACCUCUGUGCAACACGAUCAGCUUAAAACAGUGGUCGUCCAGUGGUGGUUUUGUGUUCCGGCGCUUCAAUACGUGUCCAUCCCUUGCCACGUGCGGGAGCUGUUUCAGUGAGUACUUGACCGUGCGUUGGUGUUACCCGACAAAAAAAAGGAGGUUCAUUAAUGUUUAACAACAGACCCCGAGCGGUGGCCACAUUUGUGAGUGACAUGUAAGCCCAUCCGGAGUGACACGCUGGCAAACUCCCACGAAAGGCAAACAAAUCUACAAAUUAAUGACAAACACACGCUAACAAUCACAUUAAACGGGGUGUCUAGUACGAACAAAAAAAAAAGGAAAAGAAUCGUAGCGGUCACUUGGAUCGGUUUUUUCUUUGUUGCGGUGGUUGUUUGUUUUACCUUGUUGCUGCUAAUGUGACCAGUACCGGGAAACGGCCGGCAGUACUUAGCGGAAACAUACAAAAACAGCGUGUUUUCCCGCCUACCUCGAUCCAACGAUGGUGUACAAACCACCGGGCACCUCCACCUCAUCACGUGGCAUUUCACCGCAGCGGGCACAGCAGUACGCGACGAGCCAGCAGCGCACCGACGCCAGUCGACGGCGUGCCGUGGUACCGGGUGAAGCUUUUCAGUCCAUUUCCCACUUUGGCAGUGUGCGCAGCAAGCUUAACAAUCAUGCCGGCGGACCGGCAGACCGAGGCAUCCGUACGUCCGGCGGCGAUGGUGGUGGCGGUGGCAUGAAGCGAUCGAACAGUCUCAACAAUAAGUAUAACAACAAUUACGCAGCAGCAGCAACAGCGACGGCCGCAACGACGACGACGACGCAGCCACGUCGUUCGAACAGCAUCGAUCGGAUGAACAACGGCAAGGUGUACCGUGGGCGCAGUCCGUUGCGAAAUUCCACCUCGAACCUGCACAGCAUGACGGGCGCCGGCAGUGGCCCGUACCGGAACCAGCCGGUUCUGAUUCGCUCCCGUGGAAAUGAUAUCGGCAGCAUGGACAAUUUGGAUAACAUCACCCAAGCAUCGACCGGCAGCAGCAACUCAAUGCCCGGCACGCCCGAGGAUAACAUCAACGUGGUGGUCCGGGUCCGUCCGCUCAGCAACAAGGAGGCAAGACAUGGGGAUGAGAUGGUGGUACAAUUUCCUGGAAAUGGCCAAAUAUUGUGUGACGGAAUUCCGCUGACCUCGGGCGCCGGUGCCCAGAAGCCGAAGCUGUUCUCCUACAACGUCGUGUUCGAACCGGGCGCCACACAGGACGAUGUGCUGCAGUACUCCGGCAUCAAGCGACUGAUCGAGAUGGCGAUCGAAGGAUUCAGCUGUACCGCGUUUUGUUACGGCCAGACCGGGUCGGGCAAAACGCACACACUUACCGGUCCGCCGGAGCUAUUUUAUCGUAAACCCGACCCGGCACACGAGGAUCAUGGGCUGGUGUUUCGCUCAUUUCUCUACCUAUUCAAGCUGCUGCAAGAGCGCAAAGAUACCAACUUUGUCCUGAAGGCCUCGUUCCUGGAGAUUUACAACGAAAAGGUGAUCGAUUUGCUUAAUCCCGGCACGGCUAGGAAACCGCUCGCCGUACGAUGGUCCAAAAAGUCGCGUGGCUUUUUUGUGGAGAAUCUGUUCACCGUCGACUGCGAGGAGCUGGACGAUUUGUUGGCAGUGCUGGAAGAAGGAAUGCGAAAUCGACACGUUGGUUCGCACCUGAUGAACGAUUACUCCUCGCGCAGCCACACGAUCCUGACGGUGCACAUCACCUCCGAGCAGCAGGCCGAGGGCGGCGUGUUCAUUUCGAAGCAGGGCAAAAUUAACUUUGUCGACCUGGCGGGCAGCGAGAUGACGAAGAAAACCCACAGCGAGGGCAAAACGCUCGAGGAAGCGAACAACAUCAACAAAAGCCUAAUGGUGUUGGGUUACUGUAUCGCCUCGUUAAGCGACUCCAAGCGGCGCGGCGGCCACAUUCCGUACCGGGACAGCAAGCUAACCAAGCUGCUGGCGGACAGUCUGGCAGGGAAUGGCGUAACUUUGAUGAUUGCAUGCAUUUCGCCGGCCCAAUCGAACGUGACCGAAACGGUGAACACACUGCGCUAUGCGGCCCGUGCCAAACGCAUCCGCACGAAACCGAUCAUCGUGAUGGACCCGCGGGAGGCACUGAUCCUGAGCUUGAAGCGGGAAAUCGGCGCACUGCAGGUGGAAAAUGAGCAUCUCAGAACGGCGCUCAACCUGCAGACCGAAGCGCAGGACAACAGCCAGGUGGAUCUGCUCGAGCGCCGACCGAUACCGCGCAGCCCGCCGAAGGUGGACGUGGAGAAGCUGACCGACAUGGAGGGCAACGAGUUGAAGGAGCUGGUGAAGGUGUACGUGACGGAAAAUCAGGCGCUCCGGCAGGAGAAUGCAGAGCUGUACUCGACGCGGGAAAUGAUUAUCCGCGACCAGGAGCUGGUGUGCCGGGAGAACGAACGGCUGCUCAAAAAGCUCGAGGAUGUUAAUUCAGUCUGCUGCCGUUCGCCGAUCAUACCGGCUCGACCGACGUUUUCCGCCGAGAUGCUGAAUCUGUCCGCGGCGAGUGGCGAUUUGGAGGUGUCGAACAUUUGGCGCAAUCCGCUCAGUUCCAGCGCCGACAGCAUGAAUCGCUACCGCAACGAAUCGCUGGAUGGGCGCGUGUCGGCGAACGAGAACAAGAUACCGGAACUGCUGCAGAAGGAACUGGACAAGCGCCGGAUUGGUGAUAGCAUUACCACCAUUGCUAACAAUCUGACGCGCAACAACUCGUGGGACACUGCAAACCGUUCGAACGGGACGUCCAUGCAUGGGAUGAAGCUGGCCUCCCGCAAGGGUUCGGCCGACAGUCGCCAUUCGGAUCCGAGCCAGGCGAGAACGAGUCAGACAAGAAUUAUAGACCUCGCGCCAAACCCCCCUCAGACGGCACGCUCCAGUGCUGCGUCUCAUCCACCCUGGAGACGUUCAGCACCGCGGUCGUCCAGUGCGCAGAAAUCGGCCACGCCACUGUCCGUCCGGAAGGGGACGUUUCUGCUCGCUAAGAGCAAAUCGACGGACGAGGGCAUUCUGCCGCUGAGGCGGAACAUAUUCGGUAGCCUAGUGUCGCUCGAUGACUGAGAGCACUGUUUCGCCGUUGUGAAACGGUCCCCACCCACUCGGGAAGACUCUCGUCUCUCCCAAUCACUUGACCAUGAUCAGUUAAACACGACGGGAGGGAAGCACCAUCCGUUCCCAAACAGGUGAGCGGUGUGCAUCGGAAAGCAGCAUCAUGUGAUAAUGUAUUGAAAAGCGCAGGGAACUAGAAAGUAUGGCAGUUUAAUAGCAGAGGAAAUCAAAACUAUGCAACACAUUCGAUUGUGAAUGGUGUCUUUCUUGUAAACGAAUAAAUGAAUUAACUGGAAUGUAGAAUGU